rnacentral:rRNA from 1 species
UACGGAGGAUCCAAGCGUUAUCCGGAUUUAUUGGGUUUAAAGGGUGCGUAGGUGGUUCUUUAAGUCGGACGUGAAAGCCCUCGGCUCAACUGAGGAAGUGCAUCCGAAACUGGCAAGCUAGAGUAUGUAAGAGGGUCGCGGAAUUCCCGGUGUAGAGGUGAAAUUCGUAGAUAUCGGGAGGAACACCGGUGGCGAAGGCGGCGACCUGGGACAAUACUGACACUGAGGUGCGAAAGCGUGGGGAGCAAACAGG